UACUCUGCAACCCGACGUACAUGAAGCUGGAAUCGCUAGUAAUCGCGAAUCAGAAUGUCGCGGUGAAUACGUUCCCGGGUCUUGUACACACCGCCCGUCACACCAUGGGAGAUGGAUAUGCCCGAAGUCAGUGACCCAACCGCAAGGGGGGAGCUGCCGAAGGUGGAGCCAUUAACUGGGGUGAAGUCGUAACAAGGUAAC
rnacentral:rRNA from 1 species